rnacentral:rRNA from 1 species
UACGGGGGGGGCAAGCGUUGUUCGGAUUUACUGGGCGUAAAGGGCUCGUAGGCGGCCAACUAAGUCGGACGUGAAAUCCCCAGGCUCAACCUGGGAACUGCGUCCGAUACUGGAUGGCUUGAAUCCGGGAGAGGGAUGCAGAAUUCCAGGUGUAGCGGUGAAAUGCGUAGAUAUCUGGAGGAAUACCGGUGGCGAAGGCGGCAUCCUGGACCGGCAUUGACGCUGAGGAGCGAAAGCCAGGGGAGCAAACGGG